UACGUAGGGGGCAAGCGUUGUCCGGAUUUAUUGGGCGUAAAGAGCGUGUAGGCGGCCAGGUAGGUCAGCUGUGAAAACUCGAGGCUCAACCUCGAGACGUCGGUUGAAACCACCUGGCUAGAGUCCGGAAGAGGAGAGUGGAAUUCCUGGUGUAGCGGUGAAAUGCGCAGAUAUCAGGAAGAACACCCGUGGCGAAGGCGGCUCUUUGGGACGGUACUGACGCUGAGACGCGAAAGCGUGGGGAGCGAACAGG
rnacentral:rRNA from 1 species